CACGAUCGACGCCGCGUGAGCGAUGAAGGCCAUUAGGUUGUAAGCUCUGUCGAGGGGGAACAAGCCGCAAGGUUGAGUGAUCCCUGGAGGAAGCACGGGCUAAGUUCGUGCCAGCAGCCGCGGUAAGACGAACCGUGCGAACGUUGUUCGGAAUCAUUGGGCUUAAAGGGCGCGUAGGCGGGUUGACAAGUCCGGGGUGAAAGCCUCCAGCUCAACUGGAGAAGAGCCCCGGAUACUGUCAGUCUGGAGAGGGAUAGGGGCACAUGGAACUUCCGGUGGAGCGGUGAAAUGCGUAGAGAUCGGAAGGAACGCCGGUGGCGAAAGCGAUGUGCUGGAUCUUUUCUGACGCUGAGGCGCGAAAGCUAGGGGAGCAAACGGGAUUAGAUACCCCGGUAGUCCUAGCCCUAAACGAUGGGUACUGGGUUGCGGGUCAGACAUAGACUCGCAGCCGGAGCAAAAGUGUUAAAGUACCCCGCCUGGGGAGUAUGGUCGCAAGGCUGAAACUCAAAGGAAUUGACGGGGGCUCACACAAGCGGU
rnacentral:rRNA from 1 species